rnacentral:rRNA from 1 species
ACUCCUACGGGAGGCAGCAGUGGGAAUAUUGCACAAUGGGGAAGCCCAUCGAUGCAGCCAUGCCGCGCUGUGUGAAGAAGGCCAAUUCGGGCUUUGGUUAAAGACACUUUUCAGUAGGGAGGAAGGUAGUGUAGUUAACACCUGCAUUAUUUGACGUUACCUACAGAAGAAGCACCGGCUAACUCCGUGCCAGCAGCCGCGGUAAUACGGAGGGUGCGAGCGUUAAUCGGAAUUACUGGGCGUAAAGCGCAUGCAGGCGGCCUGUUAAGUCAGAUGUGAAAGCCCGGGCUUAAGCCU